rnacentral:rRNA from 1 species
CAUUCACGGAGAGUUUGAUCCUGGCUCAGGACGAACGCUGGCGGCGUGCUUAACACAUGCAAGUCGAACGAUGAACCACCUUCGGGUGGGGAUUAGUGGCGAACGGGUGAGUAACACGUGGGCAAUCUGCCCUGCACUCUGGGACAAGCCCUGGAAACGGGGUCUAAUACCGGAUACUGACCUGCCGAGGCAUCUCGGCGGGUCGAAAGCUCCGGCGGUGCAGGAUGAGCCCGCGGCCUAUCAGCUUGUUGGUGAGGUAAUGGCUCACCAAGGCGACGACGGGUAGCCGGCCUGAGAGGGCGACCGGCCACACUGGGACUGAGACACGGCCCAGACUCCUACGGGAGGCAGCAGUGGGGAAUAUUGCACAAUGGGCGCAAGCCUGAUGCAGCGACGCCGCGUGAGGGAUGACGGCCUUC